CCAUGCUGGUGUGCUGCACCCACUAACUCGUCAUCUAGCAUCCAAAGAAUCACAGCAUAGUCAAUUACAUCAAAAUUGAAAGCUUUGUCCCCAGUGCCCAGAAGUGGUAUAAUGUAAAUUUUAAUUUGUUUCUUUUGUUAAUAUAUCAAAUUGCAAGUGAUUCAUAGAAAACAUUUUGAAGGAAGAGAGUAGGGUCUUGAGCUUUCUUAAAAAGUGAAUUUUAGUUGACUCUAACAUAGAGGCAUCUUGGAGGGUAAAUACUAUUUUGCCCCAGUUAUAAUUGUGUUUGAAUGAAAUGCUGGAGAAAGCGUAGUGACAUUAUUCUUUCAUUAGUUUUGUUUUUGCUUUUCGAUAUUUUGUUUAUUUUGCUAAAUACUAGUUCCUAGAAAAGUACAAAAGUCGGUAAUGGUUCUAAUAUUAGGAGACUUCAGUCUGCUCUUAGCUGAGAUUAUCUGAGACAUAUGUGCUUCUCUGUGCAUGAUCAAGACUAAGGAGUUAUUUAAUCCCUAUCAAGUAUCAGACACUGCUCUAGGUUCUGGGACAUAGCAACAAGCAAAAGGAAGUUCCAAAUGUCAUGGAACUCACAUUGUAAUUGGCAAUGAUAGACAAUAAAUGGUUAUGCAGUAUUUCCAAUGAUGACAAAUGCUGUGGGAAAAAAAAAAAGCUAGGAAAAAAUGGUUAAGGGAUGGAGAGUGAUGCAAAGGGUGCCAUUUUAUAAAGAUUAGGUAGGAGCAACACGCAAAUAAGGGACAUUCUAACAAAGACUUGAUUGGAGAGUGUGAGCCAAGUAAAUGUCUCCAGGAAGAGCUUCACAAGCAGAAGCUAUGUAGGUGCAGAGGCAGUGAAUGGAAGCAUACUUGGUUUCACCACCAAAAAGUCAGGGCUGAUGGAGUGAACUUUGAGAAGGAAAGAAUGGUGAGGUAUAAAUUCAAUCAAGUUAGCCAGAGGUCAUAUAAUAUGGGUUCCACACAAUCAUAGUAUUCUGAGUGAGAUGAAAAGUUGUUCGAGGUUUUUGAGCUUAAAUGACAUAGUCUGUUUCAUUUCAAUAGAAUCAUUCUGGCUACUAUGUGGACAAAAACUGUAGCAGGUAAAGAACAGGAGCCAAGAAGCCAGUAUGGAGCCAAAGAGCAGGCCAAGUGAGGGAUGAUGACUCACUCACUGGCUAGCUGAGUGGUUCUUGGGUAUGUAGAAAUCUUCAUUUCUUCUGAAUGUUUUGACUUAGAAGCUUCCAUCUGUGACAUAAAUGGAUAAUGACUCACUCACUGGCUAGCUCAUUAGUUCUUGGGUAUGUAGAAAUCUUCAUUUCUUUUGAAUGUUUUGACUUGCAAGCUUCCAUCUGUGACAUAAACGAAAGUCUCAUUUGAUUACCAUCCAAAGCAACUAUGAGCAAAGCUACCAUCUCUGGCUUGAAGUUAUCUCCAAGUUAUUGUCUAUGAUGAAGAACAGCAUUACCAGAAUGACAAAAAGCAAAUUUUUGAUUUUAUUUUCAUCUUUUAGCCUUAUUGAAUAGAUGUUUAUAGGAAAGAGUAUUAGUAUUUAAAAGAUUUAUAUUAAUGUCUAUUAUACCUACUUAGGUCCGUGAUUGAAUUUUAUUCUUAUCUUGUAGAGAAAAGAGAGUAAAGGAUCUUAGAUGACGGACUUGGAAUUGUUGAAUCUUUUCCCUGCAGAAGGCAGUGUUUCUUGUAUGUGAGGGUCAGGUGUGUCCUGGAAACAAAUGCAAAAAGAAGACUUAACCUUCAAGAAAAUUCAUGUCUAAUUUUGGAUCUCUCAGAGCAGCAUUAAAAAAAAAUGAAAACAAAGAGUGGAAAAAGGGAGAUUAGAUAGUAGAAUAGAUUGUUGCAUCCUGGAUUUUCAUUCUUUUCUUUUAUCUCUGCAGCCUUGAGGAUUUAUUGGCACCCAUUUCAUUUGUCUUUCUCUGGAUUUAACAUUGAGGUGAUGAGAUGGAAUAUUACCUGUAUGCUUCGGAACAUCUAUGAGUGACAUGUAAUAGUUGCCUGGGAAACUAGAGAUGAAAUUCUACAGGUCUUUGAAAUGCUUUACAUUUGAGAAUGAAGCUCAGCUGAAGUUUGAACAGCAUACUGACAUAUACCAACAAGAAUGAAAAUAACUUAACAGCAAUUUUAUAAAUUCACAUCCCCCAGAGCACCACAGAGUAAAGAAAUACUGCAUAUGGGUAACAACUGGUUCUUAGUUACUAAAUCUGAAAGAUCAAAUACAGUUAAUUACAUAAGCUUCUCUUGAGUUUUUCUGGGGGAAUAUACCAGGAGACCAUAAUCAAGCAUCACCAGUGGCAUUUCAUACUGGUCCCAUGGUGUUAAUCCAGGUUUCUGGUAUUGCACUAAACACGAUGAAAAACAGGAGAGAACGGAGAGGGAUCAUGUUUUACCACAAUAUGCAAUUUAUGGGAGAGAUGAAGCGCUCAGGUGGAGAUGACUAGUGUCACGUGGUGUUUUAAGUGGAUACUCACAACGCUGGAACUCACAGCAAUAACAACAAGAGAUCCUCUAUAGACUGUUGAUGUAUAGCCAUGAGAAAAAAAAAAGAAAAAUUUUUGCUCUCAAUGAGCUUGCAUUUAAGCAUCUAUAAAAGGUGAGAUUAAUAUUUACUCAGUGAACUUUGAGUAAAGCAUUGGGUGCUUCAUUAUGUGGAGGAGUCUCAUCCAAUCAGUUGAAGGUGACUGAAUGGAACUAUAGAUCGACCUCACAUAAAUGAGAGGGAAUUCUGCAACAGAUCAUCUUUGCCUUUGAACUGCAGCAUGGACUCCCCUCUGGGUCUCCUGCCUGCCAGCCCACCCUGCAGAGUGCAUUUGCCAGCCUCCACAAUCAGGUAAUUUAUCCUGUGCAUUAACAAGAGGAAGUCUAGAGCCAUGGAAACCAAGUCAGGAAACUUCUCUCUUAUUAUUAGGUCCACUGCAAAUCUAGUUGAGACUGCAAAUCGAGUUUAGUCACCACCUCCGAGGAACUGUGUCCCGCAUUGGCAUUCCUUUGGCAGCUUCCACUUCUCUGUCCCCUUGAGCAAACUAAUGAUAUCUUAAGUUAGAACAUCAUGCCAAGAGAAGUAUGUUUUCAACCAAGAAAGCAAAAUCAACAUGAUCCUAAAUGAACUGCUUCUGCAUGUCAACAGUCUUGAUAUACCUGAGAGAGUGAGAUACAGAGUAUGUUGUUAAACUUUUUAUAAUUACAAAUAUUGCUUGUAUUUCUUUUGAAAUUUGCCACACGCUGAUAUUAAAAAUAAUAGAUAGAAAAUCAAGAGA
rnacentral:lncRNA from 1 species